rnacentral:lncRNA from 10 species
AGGAAGGAAGGAAGGAAGGAAGGAAGGAAGGAAAUGUCCUGAAUUUCCAGAGUAAGGUAUUUUUCUUUCUCUACACUGAAUAUUAAUUCAGCACUCCAGGAAGAACCAGCAACUCUGGGUGCCUCAACAGCCUGACAGGGCCCUUACUCUAUUAACCAAAAAAAAACGCCAUUAAGGGAAGGAGAAGAGAGAUGAGCAAAACAAGAAGUAGAAAAAAUGGUAGAAAUACACCACCAAGGAAAUGCUAUCAUGUUACCUUGCUCCGCGGGAAUUUACUUAACCGUCUCCAUAGGAAUGGUCUGGCCCAGCUAUUAAAAGGUUCACACAGAAAAAAGAAAAGUUGGGAGACAAAAUUAGCUGAGUAGAGGCCAUGUCUGCUUUUGGAAGGGCUAUGGUCAACUCACAGUCCUGCUGAAUCUACAGAGAGAGAGAGAAACUAGACCCCAGGCUGAGUAGUCUGUAGUGAAUUUUGUAUGCAGCUCUCAACAAAAGAGCACUCAGACACCCUGGCACCAAAGAUAUGAACAAGAAAACGCUGAGAACAUAUAUCUGUUUAUCCGUCUGUGAUCCCAAAAGAACUCAUUUAGUAAAAGGUCUUGGACUCCAAAUGCAUCAGUCUGUUUCCUUCCUGAUGGUCCCUGCUACAUAUGUGGCCGCUUGGACAUCUGAAAGGAAAGGGGCCUGUGCUAUUCUGAUGUUCAUCCAGUAAACAACAAAUUGGUGCUUAAAAUGGGGAAGCGGGAAGCUCUUCCCAGAAGAAUCCAGAUUCCAGGAUCUAAGGGGGUCAUGUUGAUCCUAGAAGCAGCCACUGUGUGAGGAUCCUUCUGUCCAUGAGGCCACCAAAUCUAUUCUGCUCCUGGGGACCAGACAAGGGGAUCCAGAUGGCACAUCUUGUGGCAUGAUGCUCAUUCACGUCCAGCAGUGCCGCAGGGAGGAGGCAGAAAGACUCUGGGCCUCAGCCCCACAUCAGAGCCUUGCCAGAGCCAGUGUCACUGCAGCAACUGAGAUGGAGCAAGCCCUGAGUCUGGAACACAGGUUGUCCGAAAUUUGUCCAGGGGAGCCCCUUGAAGCAAAUCCUGUGUCAUUUUGACACACCUUCAGUUUUAAACACCUUAUGGUGGUAUUUAAAAUGAAAGAAAGAAAUCAAGGUUGAAAUGCUGAAGAAGGAAGAAGAGCCACAAAGGACAAGACAAGAGAAAGAUAGUUCUGAUGACAAUGAAACUCUUUUUAACUAAAACAGAACUCUUGUCUUCAGCCAGAGCUCUCUGUUGUCCACCGCUGGGACUUAGAUAUAUUCAGGAGCCACAGGGACAGGCCUGACAACAGGAAACAUACAUGGAAAGUCUCCUGGGAAGAACUCAAGAUUUUUCACCUGAUGGACUUUAAAGUAUUAAGGCAUGCCUGGCAAAUAGUCUAUUUUCAGAAGGGUGAAGGAAGGUAGGACUCAUCCUAAGGAAAGAGACAGUUGGGCACAAUGGAUUGGUCCUUGGUUGUUAAAGGAGAAUAGAAGUUAUUAAAAAUGAAAGUAUGGGGGAUACUACAGGAAUCCACCUCCAGCCAGCCCUGUAGGUGAGAGAGAGGUAACUGAGAGGAAUGGGAACUCUAGCUCAUGGAGGUUCAAGCAACACUGCUUUGGAACCCUUCUAGCAGAAGGCAACACACCGGGGAGACAGCUGCACUUCCCCUUGGCAGCACAGCUUGUUAUGGAAUGAAUGUUUGUGUCCCUAAAAUUCAUACACUGAAAUCCUAAUCCCCAAUGUGAUGGUAUUAGGAGGUGGGGCCUUUGGGUGGUAAAUAGGUCAUGUGGGUGGAGCCAUCACGAAUGGGAUUAAUGCCCUUAUAAAAGGGAUCCAGAGAGUUGUCCCUCUCGUCCUCGCUCUCGCUCUUGCUCUCUUCCUCCCAUGUGAAGACCCAAAGAGAAGUGAGCAGCCUGCAACCCAGGAGAGGGCCUGGCCUUGCCAGAACCUGGCCAUGCUGCACCCUGACCUCAGACUUCUAGACCUCCGAGCUGCGAGAAAUACACUUCUGUUGUUUAUAAACCAUCUAGUCUAUGGUAAUUAGUUAUAGCAGCCCUAAUGAGCUAAGACACAACCCCAUACAGCUUUGGUUUCCAGGGAAGCCACAGCAGAAUCUACUUUGGCUGGCAGAUCACUUGCACCUGGUGGAACAGUGCAGACACUACCAGAGAGGGCUUCUUUAUGAGAACCUUGGGACUGACCCACAGAAAUACAUGAAAUGGAAAAGAAGAUGAACUAUUUAGAUAACUCUACAUGAACAGCCUAGGCCGAUUAAUUUAGGCUACAAAAUAAAUAGUCCUUUGCCUGGGAAGUAGACAUGGAAGUUAUAAUGAUCCCUGAAACAAAGGCUCAGUGGGGUCCUCCUGUGUCUCAAGGCCAACUAGCUAGUAAGUAGUACUCACAGGACCUGAACUCCUAGUCCAACAUCCUCUCCACCUAGCAGAAAGGAAAUGAAGGCAGAUGUGGAAUUCCAGAAGGAUGGAAAGAGAAGUCAACAUCGCCACAGUAAGAAAAGUGUGGAUGAGAAUGAUGUAGGAAGAGUCAGAAUGGUCUGCAUACGAGAGCCAAGAAGGUCACCUCAGGAACCCCAAGACUGAGGAAGAGAUUCCAUGGAAGCCAAAGGUACCCCAGGGCAGCACCGUUAAGGGACAGGAGAGAUCAGGAACAUGCCCUACUGGCUCUGCCUCAGAUGACCAACAAACACGGUCCAUAGUCAAAUGGAAUGGGGAGAAUAAAGGAAAAACUGCACCUCAACGAAAGCAGAAAUGAUCACAGGCAGAAUCACAGUGGGGAAAGAAGGCAAGAAGCAGGAACAAUGAAACAAAAGUCGAUGUCAGGCCUUUGUUGGGCAAUACCCACUAUUCAUAAGUAUUUGUGAUAGACGAAGAUGCCCUCAGGGAAACACUUCAACAAAAGCACAAGAUCAAACCUUGACGGGAAUGGCUGCCAGUCCCUAAUACAAACCUUUGCUUAUUUAUUUUAAAUCUCUGAGCAUCACUUACAGGAAAAAUAAACUUUCCUUCCAAAACUAAGUUUGCUUAUAUGCAUUGUCUAUUGCCUCCCCCUAGUGAUUGGAUAUGUGAAAUGCCAUAAGAAUCUAUUGGCAGAGCUGGAGAAAUUAAGUGACCGCGAUGAUGGUGAUGACAAUGACGAUGAUGAUGAUGAUGAUGCCUUUUUAUACUUGAACAGUACUGCAUGCUCCUCAAAGUGCUUUCACACAGGUAAUUUCAUGUAUCUGGAUAACUACUUUGUAAAAUAGACAAUAUGGAUUCCACUUCCAAAUCAUCUCACACUGACAUUGCUUUGGAGCCUAUUAAUCAAAAUCCGAGACAGAAAACUACCUAGGGAUUUGGAGUCAGACCUACAUUUGUAGCCUGGUGCCACCAUGCACCCCUUUGUGAUUUCGAGCCAGUGGCUUAAACCAUGAGCCUCCAUUUCCAUAUGUGUAAAAGGGGUUGAGACUGUAUAUAUCAUAGAGAUACAAUAACCACUAUAUGAAUCAUUCAGUACUGGCUUGAGCACUGUGCCUGGUGUGAGGUAAGACCUUUUAAAAUGUCAUGGUGGUGGUUGUUGUUGCUGCUGCUGCUGCUGCUGCUUGUUAAUGGCAUCUUUUAGGAGUGGUCUUUCACUUCCUCAGGAUCACAUUUAUGAUUUCUGAGCCUGCUGGGAGACAAUUCUUCCUUGUAUCUAACUGAAAAACAUGUACUUUACUUAAAUCUACUUUCAACCAGAUGCAGGAGCUUGUGCCUGUAAUCCCAGUGCUUUGGGAGGCUGAGGCAGGAGGAUCGCUUAAGGCCAGGAGUUCAAGUCUGCAGUGAACCAUGAUCACACCACUGCACUACAGCCUGGGUGACAGAGCAAGACCCUGUCUCAGAAAAAAAAAAAAAAAAUCUACUUCUCUUUCUCAAUUUUCCUUAUUUUCCAGUUAUUUUUCCCUCCUUGGCCUGGCUUAUGACCUGUCUUAGGGUUCAUUUCUAAAGCAGAAGAACCUUGGCCUGACAAGAAGUGCAAAAUUGCAGGGUGUCCUUUCCAGAUGCUCCUUCAGAUGCUAUAAAGUCUGCCUGUCCAGCCUAGGAACCCUGGGAGCUAAGUGCAAUCAGAAGAGCACAUUAGACCAGGCGUUGCUCAGAACAAUUCUCUUCCUCAAAGACUUUAUCCCUGGUGGUUAAAGAGGAACUAGUGGUCAUAAGAAAGUGUGGAAAAAUCAGAUAGGGAGCUUUUUAAGACUCUAAAUCUGGCUUAUUAUCAGUGAGCAAGCUUAUGAAGCACACAUGCACCUGAGUGCAUGCGCACACACACACACACAGAGGUUCACAGCAAUUAUGGGCUUAUGAGAUCUGCCUGGGGAUAGCGAAAAGUAAUUCCUGAAGUCAGCUACCAAAAAUAGCUCCAGCACCUGGGCUUAGCAGACGUCAGGAUGAAAAGCAAACAGCUUAUUCUUGAGCAAACACUUUUGACACAACCACAAGUCACCCAGGCAGCCCUCAUCGCAGGUGCUGGCCUGUCUCCACUUCAUGGAGGAGUCAAGAGUCUGCCACAUCCCAUUAGGCCUUAUGAAAUAAUAAGUAGGAGAGAAAGUAAAAUGGUAUUCAGGAACUACAGAAACUUCUUUAUCCUGAUGCUUCCUUCCUACUGCUGAAGAAAACACCAUCCUUGCCACCUCCAAGUGGCAGAAGUCUAUAAUUCUUUUUCCUGCAUACUAGGAAGGUCUUUCUCAAUAGUUAUGCCCUGGGAUGUGAGAUACCAGCCCACACAAUCAAGCCCGUGCAUGCCUCUCUGCAAUGAGCUUGGAGAACUCAUACUCCAGUCCCUAAAGUGCACACAGCAGACUCCAUCCAAGUGUCAGUUUCUUCAAAGCUUCCAGCCUUCCCUGUGAGCCCACACCAAGGGUGGACAAAACUGUAACAAACCAGGGACCUGCCAUGCUGACCCCACCUCAGGAGCCAGGGACACUUGGGAACCAGAGGCCUAAUUCACUGUGCUUAGCAUCGUAUUUGCACCACCAUAUUUGCACUCAACAAUAUCUGAUUGAAGGAUUCUAUUCAUGCACAUUGAAAAAAAUGAUGUCUCCAAGUCUUAGGUGAUGGUGGGUGAAAUGUACAGGACCAAGAAGAUACAGCUCUUGCGCUGGGAGAUGAACAUUCAUUGAGUACUGUCUACGUGCCAGGCAGUGUAAGAUGCUUGACCCACAUUUAUCCUAUAGUCCUCACAAUGAUCUAUGAGAAGGUGUUAGAAUCCUUGCUGGACAGGUACAAAGAUUGGGGCUGUAAAAGUUUAGGCCACUCGCUGAUGGCUACACAGCUUGAGGAACAGAACAAGAAUUUGGAACCAAAGGCUGUCUACUUAAAGGUGGUGUGAUUACAAUGCUGACAUCCUAAGAAGCAGCAAAUGUUACUGUGAGUGGGAACCUGAAAAGAUGGCUCACCUGGCUGGGACAAGCUUAGCUAAGGCAGCAUUUAAUAGGCAAGCUGUGCACCUCCUCAGUCCAGUCUGGACACCCAAAUCUUGACUGCAGUUGUCCGUUGAGGGCUACCUUAUUCAAGAACUGAAGAGGGUUCUUUAACUUUAUGAAGCCAGCACAAAGAACCAGAUAAGAAUGACCACAUUCACUCUAGGGAAUGAGGUUAAGAGCAUAGAGGUUCUAGUGUCACAUUACCUGGGUGACGCCUUGAUUAAGCCACUUAGUAGCUGUAUGAUCUUGGGCAAGUCAAUGAAUCUCUCUGGGUCUCAGUUUUCUCAUCUGUACAAUGGGAUAAAAAUGGAAUCUACUUCAUUUAGUGGAAGGUUUAAUGAGAUGAUAUCCUGAAAGUACUUAGCACAGCAGCUGAAACAUUGCAAUUAUUCAAUUCAUGGUCACCACUGUUAUUACUAUAUUCCUAUCAUUACAGUUAUCAAUCAUAAUUAUAUACAAUAAAAGAUAAAUAAUCUGUACUAGGGUGGA